GGAGGUUGACUGGAGGUAGUAGUUUAAAGAUUGCUUUGGAUGAGGUGCAUGAUGUGUUUGCUCGUUGGUUAGAACUACAUCUAGAAGAUGAUAGGCUCUUGCUAUCCUUGGUAGUGUUAUAUCAUAUAUAUCUGUGGAUGUGAUCUACCCUUAUUCAUGAUAUCAAUCUUUAGAACAAGUUUGCCUUCAUAUGCAAUCGAUGCUUCAUGUUAGGAUAGAUCUGUUAGACUAGAUAGAAAACCCUAGCCAGUUCUCUGCCAAUCCACGGAUUGAUAAACCUUGAAUGGAAUACUCUAAGGGAAAAGCUACGAUGAUCCGUGUGCUUACGGUUCACAAAUUGGCGCGCUAACUGACGUCAACAUUUCAC
rnacentral:lncRNA from 1 species